UUAAGCGACUAAGCGUACACGGUGGAUGCCCUGGCAGUCAGAGGCGAUGAAGGACGUGCUAAUCUGCGAAAAGCGUCGGUAAGGUGAUAUGAACCGUUAUAGCCGGCGAUGUCCGAAUGGGGAAACCCAGUGCAAUUCGUUGCACUAUCGUUAACUGAAUACAUAGGUUAACGAGGCGAACCGGGGGAACUGAAACAUCUAAGUACCCCGAGGAAAAGAAAUCAACCGAGAUUCCCCCAGUAGCGGCGAGCGAACGGGGAGCAGCCCAGAGUCUGAAUCAGCUUGUGUGUUAGUGGAACGGUCUGGAAAGUCCGACGGUACAGGGUGAUAGUCCCGUACACCAAAAUGCACAGGCUGUGAACUCGAAGAGUAGGGCGGGACACGUGGUAUCCUGUCUGAAUAUGGGGGGACCAUCCUCCAAGGCUAAAUACUCCUGACUGACCGAUAGUGAACCAGUACCGUGAGGGAAAGGCGAAAAGAACCCCGGCGAGGGGAGUGAAAAAGAACCUGAAACCGUGUACGUACAAGCAGUGGGAGCACCUUCGGGUGUGACUGCGUACCUUUUGUAUAAUGGGUCAGCGACUUAUAUUCUGUAGCAAGGUUAACCGUAUAGGGGAGCCGCAGGGAAACCGAGUCUUAACUGGGCGUUAAGUUGCAGGGUAUAGACCCGAAACCCGGUGAUCUAGCCAUGGGCAGGUUGAAGGUUGGGUAACACUAACUGGAGGACCGAACCGACUAAUGUUGAAAAAUUAGCGGAUGACUUGUGGCUGGGGGUGAAAGGCCAAUCAAACCGGGAGAUAGCUGGUUCUCCCCGAAAGCUAUUUAGGUAGCGCCUCGUGAAUUCAUCUUCGGGGGUAGAGCACUGUUUCGGCUAGGGGGUCAUCCCGACUUACCAACCCGAUGCAAACUACGAAUACCGAAGAAUGUUAUCACGGGAGACACACGGCGGGUGCUAACGUCCGUCGUGAAGAGGGAAACAACCCAGACCGCCAGCUAAGGUCCCAAAGUCAUGGUUAAGUGGGAAACGAUGUGGGAAGGCACAGACAGCCAGGAUGUUGGCUUAGAAGCAGCCAUCAUUUAAAGAAAGCGUAAUAGCUCACUGGUCGAGUCGGCCUGCGCGGAAGAUGUAACGGGGCUAAACCAUGCACCGAAGCUGCGGCAGCGACACUAUGUGUUGUUGGGUAGGGGAGCGUUCUGUAAGCCUGCGAAGGUGUGCUGUGAGGCAUGCUGGAGGUAUCAGAAGUGCGAAUGCUGACAUAAGUAACGAUAAAGCGGGUGAAAAGCCCGCUCGCCGGAAGACCAAGGGUUCCUGUCCAACGUUAAUCGGGGCAGGGUGAGUCGACCCCUAAGGCGAGGCCGAAAGGCGUAGUCGAUGGGAAACAGGUUAAUAUUCCUGUACUUGGUGUUACUGCGAAGGGGGGACGGAGAAGGCUAUGUUAGCCGGGCGACGGUUGUCCCGGUUUAAGCAUGUAGGCUGGUUAUCCAGGCAAAUCCGGAUAAUCAAGGCUGAGGUGUGAUGACGAGGCACUACGGUGCUGAAGUAACAAAUGCCCUGCUUCCAGGAAAAGCCUCUAAGCAUCAGGUAACAUCAAAUCGUACCCCAAACCGACACAGGUGGUCAGGUAGAGAAUACCAAGGCGCUUGAGAGAACUCGGGUGAAGGAACUAGGCAAAAUGGUGCCGUAACUUCGGGAGAAGGCACGCUGGUGUGUAGGUGAAGUCCCUGCGGAUGGAGCUGAGACCAGUCGAAGAUACCAGCUGGCUGCAACUGUUUAUUAAAAACACAGCACUGUGCAAACACGAAAGUGGACGUAUACGGUGUGACGCCUGCCCGGUGCCGGAAGGUUAAUUGAUGGGGUUAUCCGUAAGGAGAAGCUCUUGAUCGAAGCCCCGGUAAACGGCGGCCGUAACUAUAACGGUCCUAAGGUAGCGAAAUUCCUUGUCGGGUAAGUUCCGACCUGCACGAAUGGCGUAAUGAUGGCCAGGCUGUCUCCACCCGAGACUCAGUGAAAUUGAACUCGCUGUGAAGAUGCAGUGUACCCGCGGCAAGACGGAAAGACCCCGUGAACCUUUACUAUAGCUUGACACUGAACAUUGAGCCUUGAUGUGUAGGAUAGGUGGGAGGCUUUGAAGCGUGGACGCCAGUCUGCGUGGAGCCAACCUUGAAAUACCACCCUUUAAUGUUUGAUGUUCUAACGUUGGCCCCUUACCGGGGUUGCGGACAGUGUCUGGUGGGUAGUUUGACUGGGGCGGUCUCCUCCCAAAGCGUAACGGAGGAGCACGAAGGUUAGCUAAUCCUGGUCGGACAUCAGGAGGUUAGUGCAAUGGCAUAAGCUAGCUUGACUGCGAGCGUGACGGCGCGAGCAGGUGCGAAAGCAGGUCAUAGUGAUCCGGUGGUUCUGAAUGGAAGGGCCAUCGCUCAACGGAUAAAAGGUACUCCGGGGAUAACAGGCUGAUACCGCCCAAGAGUUCAUAUCGACGGCGGUGUUUGGCACCUCGAUGUCGGCUCAUCACAUCCUGGGGCUGAAGUAGGUCCCAAGGGUAUGGCUGUUCGCCAUUUAAAGUGGUACGCGAGCUGGGUUUAGAACGUCGUGAGACAGUUCGGUCCCUAUCUGCCGUGGGCGCUGGAGAAUUGAGGGGGGCUGCUCCUAGUACGAGAGGACCGGAGUGGACGCAUCACUGGUGUUCGGGUUGUCAUGCCAAUGGCACUGCCCGGUAGCUAAAUGCGGAAGAGAUAAGUGCUGAAAGCAUCUAAGCACGAAACUUGCCCCGAGAUGAGUUCUCCCUGAGACUUUAAGUCUCCUGAAGGAACGUUGAAGACGACGACGUUGAUAGGCCGGGUGUGUAAGCGCAGCGAUGCGUUGAGCUAACCGGUACUAAUGAACCGUGAGGCUUAACCUU
rnacentral:rRNA from 1 species